UUUAGCUACUUCCUUAGCGCUGUCGCGUCAGACGGCUUAUUAGUAUCUGCACAGUAAUAAAGUCAGUCGUGUUUUGUUGAAGGAGGUGGGACACAACCUUAUUUACUUAAAAUCCGACAUAGAGCCGAGCCAAAACCUUAAAAUCCCUCAUCACCAAGCCUGGGUUUUAGUCAAUUUGACAGGUGAAAUACAAACUGCAGGUUGUUCGUGUAUUGCAGGUCAAGGCAGAUCUUGCAGCCACGCUGCUGCCAUGCU